CAACUACUCCCUCUGUACCAAAUUUCUUGUCUUAGAUUUGUCUAGAUACGGAUGUAUCUAAUACUAAAAUGUGACUUGAUACAUCUGUAUCUAGACAAAUCUAAGACAAUAAUUUUGGACGGAGGGAGUACUUU
rnacentral:pre_miRNA from 1 species